CACGUAGGGUGCGAGCGUUGUCCGGAAUUAUUGGGCGUAAAGAGCUCGUAGGCGGUGUGUCGCGUCGGCCGUGAAAACCUGCAGCUUAACUGUGGGCUUGCGGUCGAUACGGGCAUCACUGGAGUUCGGCAGGGGAGACUGGAAUUCCUGGUGUAGCGGUGAAAUGCGCAGAGUAUCAGGAGGAACACCGGUGGCGAAGGCGGGUCUCUGGGCCGAUGACUGACGCUGAGGAGCGAAAGCGUGGGGAGCGAACAGG
rnacentral:rRNA from 1 species